rnacentral:rRNA from 1 species
GAUCCUGGCUCAGGAUGAACGCUGGCGGCGUGCUUAACACAUGCAAGUCGAACGAAGCAAUUUGGCGGAAGUUUUCGGAUGGAAGCUAGAUUGACUGAGUGGCGGACGGGUGAGUAACGCGUGGGUAACCUGCCUCACACUGGGGGACAACAGUUAGAAAUGACUGCUAAUACCGCAUAAGCGCACAGGACCGCAUGGUCCAGUGUGAAAAACUCCGGUGGUGUGAGAUGGACCCGCGUUUG